rnacentral:lncRNA from 1 species
UUGCCCAUAUUUUUAUCUCUAAAUCAUUUACCUUCACAUGGGUGAGUAUAUUGUUACUUCCAUCCUUCAUUUAUUAUAAAAAUAUCUUCAUAUUAUCUAUUUUUUGAUGUGAACUAUAAUGCUUACUUAGGCGAAGGAGUCCGGUUACUCGGUAGAAGAUCAAUGUUUAGAUUUUCUUCUCUCUCUCUUUUUUUAAUAUUGUACUGCUAUUG